CCUCUUUCUUUUGCUUCUAAAAUCAUCAGAUGAGAAACAAAUCCAGUGUUCCUGUGAAUAAUAGAGUUGAUGACUGAAGAAGGGAUAUCAGUUACUCAUUAGAAGAAUUCAGACACUGCAGCAUCACCUUCUACUCUGCAGGUUCCAGUUCUGUCACUUUUCCAGAAAUCUGGAUUCCUUCAUCCUCUCAGAGAUGGGGAAUUUUUCAGCUAGAAUGAAGAACAAUCUUUAUAUAAAAGUAGAAGACAAAAAUUAGGGAAUUUAUCCUCCAGCCAGGAGAACCAGAGCUGACCCAGUCCUGGACAUGUGGGGGAAAAAUGGAAGAACAAACUCUUCUCCUUCAUCCAACAUCUUCCACUUGAUCCAAAGUAGCCUGUCAAGACAAAAAGAGGAUCUGCCCCUUUGCCAGUGUAUGUACAGAGAAAAAGCCUGAAUCAUUUCUCCAAAUAUACAGAGUUUAUGAAGAUCCUUAUAAAAAUGGGCAAAGCUCCUGCUCCUAGAAGAAAAUACCAGAAGAAAGGU
ensembl:lncRNA